rnacentral:rRNA from 1 species
UACGGGGGGGGCAAGCGUUGUUCGGAAUUACUGGGCGUAAAGGGUUUGUAGGUGGCUUGUUAGGUCAGACGUGAAAUCCCUCAGCUUAACUGGGGAACUGCGUCUGAUACUGGCGAGCUUGAGUGCAGGAGAGGAACGCGGAAUUCCAGGUGUAGCGGUGAAAUGCGCAGAUAUCAGGAGGAACACCAGUGGCGAAGGCGCCACUCUGGGCCGUAACUGACGCUGAGGAGCGAAAGCGUGGGUAGCAAACAGG